UCUGCCCUUCACUCUGGGACAAGCCCUGGAAACGGGGUCUAAUACCGGAUAACACUCUGUCCCGCAUGGGACGGGGGUUAAAAGCUCCGGCGGUGAAGGAUGAGCCCGCGGCCUAUCAGCUUGUUGGUGGGGUAAUGGCCUACCAAGGCGACGACGGGUAGCCGGCCUGAGAGGGCGACCGGCCACACUGGGACUGAGACACGGCCCAGACUCCUACGGGAGGCAGCAGUGGGGAAUAUUGCACAAUGGGCGAAAGCCUGAUGCAGCGACGCCGCGUGAGGGAUGACGGCCUUCGGGUUGUAAACCUCUUUCAGCAGGGAAGAAGCGAAAGUGACGGUACCUGCAGAAGAAGCGCCGGCUAACUACGUGCCAGCAGCCGCGGUAAUACGUAGGGCGCAAGCGUUGUCCGGAAUUAUUGGGCGUAAAGAGCUCGUAGGCGGCUUGUCACGUCGGAUGUGAAAGCCCGGGGCUUAACCCCGGGUCUGCAUUCGAUACGGGCUAGCUAGAGUGUGGUAGGGGAGAUCGGAAUUCCUGGUGUAGCGGUGAAAUGCGCAGAUAUCAGGAGGAACACCGGUGGCGAAGGCGGAUCUCUGGGCCAUUACUGACGCUGAGGAGCGAAAGCGUGGGGAGCGAACAGGAUUAGAUACCCUGGUAGUCCACGCCGUAAACGUUGGGAACUAGGUGUUGGCGACAUUCCACGUCGUCGGUGCCGCAGCUAACGCAUUAAGUUCCCCGCCUGGGGAGUACGGCCGCAAGGCUAAAACUCACAGGAAUUGACGGGGGCCCGCACAAGCAGCGGAGCAUGUGGCUUAAUUCGACGCAACGCGAAGAACCUUACCAAGGCUUGACAUAUACCGGAAAGCAUCAGAGAUGGUGCCCCCCUUGUGGUCGGUAUACAGGUGGUGCAUGGCUGUCGUCAGCUCGUGUCGUGAGAUGUUGGGUUAAGUCCCGCAACGAGCGCAACCCUUGUUCUGUGUUGCCAGCAUGCCCUUCGGGGUGAUGGGGACUCACAGGAGACUGCCGGGGUCAACUCGGAGGAAGGUGGGGACGACGUCAAGUCAUCAUGCCCCUUAUGUCUUGGGCUGCACACGUGCUACAAUGGCCGGUACAAUGAGCUGCGAUGCCGCGAGGCGGAGCGAAUCUCAAAAAGCCGGUCUCAGUUCGGAUUGGGGUCUGCAACUCGACCCCAUGAAGUCGGAGUUGCUAGUAAUCGCAGAUCAGCAUUGCUGCGGUGAAUACGUUCCCGGGCCUUGUACACACCGCCCGUCACGUCACGAAAGUCGGUAACACCCGAAGCCGGUGGCCCAACCCCU
rnacentral:rRNA from 2 species